UAGGAUGGCCUCAGUAACGGCGAGUGAAGCGGCCAGAGCCCAAGAUGGUAAUCUCUGUUUAACAGCGAAUUGUAAUCUUGAGUGGCUAUUCUCAAUUGAAGAUGGCGUAUAAGUGCCCUUGAACGGGCCGCCAUAGAGGGUGAUAGCCCCGUACGUGACGCCGUCUUCUAACGAGAAAGUCUACAAAGAGUCGGGUUCUUUGGUAUUGGAGCCCUAAGCGGGAGAUAAACUUCUUCUAAGGCUAAAUAUAUGUGGGAAACCGAUAGCGAACAAGUACUGUGAAGGAAAGAUGAAAAGCACUUUGGAAAGAGAGUCAAAAGACCUGAAACCGUUGAGAAGGAAGCGGUAGAGAUGAAUUCUACAGCUAGGCACGGGGAAGUUAGUCUAAUCUAGCAUUUAUAUAUUACUUAAUCGAAUGUAUGGGUGUGUAAGAGGAAACUAAUUACUUGUGCGGAGUUGUGAGACCGGAUGGAGUGAUGUGAUUACAGAGGCCUGUUAAGUCUGAUUUUUUCGGAAAUAACUUAGGAGUGCCGGUAAAUGCAUGACUUGAGGGAGCUUUGUGCGAUCCGGUCAAAAUGGUCUUUACCGACUCGUCUUGAAACACGAACCAAGGAGUCUUACGUACACGCGAGUAUGCCGGUGGAAAAACUGACAUGCGAAAUGAAAGUGAUUGAUGCCAAGCGCAAGCAGCAGCAUCGACCGACCAUGAUCCUCUGGAGAAAGGUUUGAGUAAGAGCGUGUCCUUAAGGACCCGAAAGAUGG
rnacentral:rRNA from 1 species